rnacentral:rRNA from 1 species
CACGUAGGGACCAAGCGUUGUCCGGAUUUAUUGGGCGUAAAGCGCUCGUAGGCGGUUCGGUAAGUCGGGUGUGAAACCCCUGGCUCAACCCGGGGACGCCACCCGAUACUGCUGUGACUCGAGUUCGGUAGGGGAGCGGGGGAAUUCCUGGUGUAGCGGUGAAAUGCGCAGAUAUCAGGAGGAACACCGGUGGCGAAGGCGCCGCUCGUGGGCCGAUACUGACGCUGAGGAGCGAAAGCGUGGGGAGCAAACAGG